rnacentral:rRNA from 1 species
GGACGAACGCUGGCGGCGUGCCUAAUACAUGCAAGUCGAGCGGAUCUUUCCUUCGGGAAAGGUUAGCGGCGGACGGGUGAGUAACACGUAGGCAACCUGCCUGUAAGAUCGGGAUAACUACCGGAAACGGUAGCUAAGACCGGAUAGNUGGUUNCCUCGCAUGAGAGAGCCAAGAAACACGGAGCAAUCUGUGGCUUACAGAUGGGCCUGCGGCGCAUUAGCUNGUUGGUGAGGUAACGGCUCACCAAGGCGACGAUGCGUAGCCGACCUGAGAGGGUGAUCGGCCACACUGGGACUGAGACACGGCCCAGACUCCUACGGGAGGCAGCAGUAGGGAAUCUUCCGCAAUGGACGCAAGUCUGACGGAGCAACGCCGCGUGAGUGAUGAAGGUCUUCGGAUCGUAAAGCUCUGUUGCCCUGGACGAACGCUUGGGAGAGUAACUGCUCCCAAGGUGACGGUACAGGAGAAGAAAGCCCCGGC